rnacentral:tRNA from 1 species
GCCUGGCUGGCUCAGUCUGUAGAGUAUACGAUUCACGAUCCUGGGGUCAUGAGUUUAAGCCCCAUGUUGGGCA